CCCUGGUUAGCUCAAUUGGUAGAGCGCUCCAACUAUAAUGGAGAGGUCCCGGGUUCGAUACCCGGACCAGGCG
rnacentral:tRNA from 1 species